rnacentral:rRNA from 1 species
GAAGUCGUAAAAGGUUUCGUAGGUGAACCUGCGGAAGGAUCAUUGU